rnacentral:lncRNA from 1 species
UUUUGAGAGUGGAGCCAUUCUGGGCAGGCAGACUGGUUCCUUUCUGUCUUUCUUAUUUCCACGAGGUCUGGUCCAUGCCCAGAACAAGGGGUCAUUAUGGCUGCAGCAUUGGAAUGCCUUUCCCAUCAGUGAGUUAAGGAGAUUAUCUUUGUUUGAAAUUCCAGGGAUCCUGGGAGGAGGAUUUGUUAGGCUUGCCUUCUCUCUCUCCUGUCUAGGCAGUGAGGCAGGCCUGGGCUGGAUUGGGCUGGCUGGAGGCUCUUUGCCAUGGUCCCUGGUCGCCGCCUGCCUGUCUGUCUUUGUGAGUGGAGUGGCAGGGCAGUGCAAGGUGGUGUGUACCCAGGCAUGCUGUACUGAGGAGGAGCCAGGUACUCUCCCAGCACUGACCUGCCUGCCUGCCUGCCUGCCCAUCUGCCUGCUUGCCCACCCUCCACUGCAUUUGGGCUGGAGAGGCCCACUCCUGUGCUGGACAGGAGCCAGAGAACUUGGGCAAAUCAACUUACUAUGAAGAAGGGAGCUAGCUGGACAGCCUAACUCCAGCAAGGCCUUGGUAGAUCAGGUACCAGUCUUGAGUCUUGGAAAGAAGAAACUUCUAGAGCUUGGCAGAGAAAGACCCCAACCUCCUUCAACAACAACUUGACAACCUGACAAGCUCCUUCCCUUCCUCCAUUAAUAGCUGAUCUCCUGUUCCCUCCCUUUGGGGAGGAGCUGCCCCACUGGUGCUCCAUCCGUUUAUGAUGGUAAUGGGGGCUAUAAACUGACACUGGGAAGCUCAACAUUCUGACUAAGCUGGGAGGGGCAGAAGGAAAAAGGAGUGGAAGAUUGGAGAGGGUCUGAUGAUGGGGAGCUCUCUGGUUGGACCUGUUGAUUCUCUGACUUGGAAGGAGGAGGUCAGGAAUACUGCCAGUACCCUUGGAGGGACCAUCACUUACUGGUGAUUGUUCUCCCUUACCCUGCCCUUCAGGGGCUUGGGAAGCUGGAGCCUCCUUAUCAGGGUAAUUAGCAGCAGACCCUGGACUGAGACUGGCUUCUGUCUCAUUGACUGCUUCUCUGCUGAGUGGAUCCUGCCUGCUGUACACCACACAUACUAGCUGUGCACCCUGACCCUGUGGGGGGAGGCGACGGGAGAAGGGGUGAGGGUAGGCAUAGAUCUUCAGUGCCUUGGGCACUGAACUUAAUCAGCACAGUGACAGCCCAGAGGGUCAGGGGACACUGAGGGGAUUGCUUGCCUAGCUUUUCCUUCUACCUAUUCUCCAGUUGUCACAGGAAAGGUACUUGGGCCCCAAUCUCUGGACACUGAGGUCUAGGGCUUCAGGAACCAGAACUGGGGAGCUUUGGGGCGGGGAGGCAGAUAGUGACAGUUCCCAGGCUAGGAUUGAAUCGUUUGGAUAUACUGCUGCCUGGACACAGACUUGUCUAGGUAGCACUAUUGAGAGCCAGGCUCAGCACUAUGGAGCAGUUUCUUGCCUUUGGGGUCAAAGGCUCGGAUUAUGGAGCAGCUAACUGAA